rnacentral:rRNA from 1 species
AACGAACGCUGGCGGCAUGCCUAACACAUGCAAGUCGACCGAGACCUUCGGGUCUAGUGGCGCUAGCGUUCGUAACGCGUGGGAACCUUCCCUUAGGUUCGGAAUAACUCCCCGAAAGGGGUGCUAAUAUCGGAUAAUGUCUUCGGACCAAAGAUUUAUCGCCUUUGGUUGGGCCCGCGUUUGAUUAGCUAUUUGGUAGGGUAAAGCCUAUCAUGGCGACGAUCCAUAGCUGGUUUGAGAGGCUGAGCAAUCACACAGGGACUGAGACACGGCCCAGACUCCUACGGGAGGCAGCAGUGGGGAAUAUUGGACGAUGGGCGAGAGACUGAGCCAGCAAUGCCGCGAGAGUGAUGAAGGCCUUAGGGGUGGAAAGCUCUUUUACCCGGGAUGAUUAGGACAGUACCGGGAGAAUAAGCUCCGGCUAACGUCGGG